rnacentral:rRNA from 1 species
UACAGAGGUCUCAAGCGUUGUUCGGAUUCAUUGGGCGUAAAGGGUGCGUAGGCGGCGCGGUAAGUCGGGUGUGAAAUCUCGGAGCUUAACUCCGAAACUGCAUUCGAUACUGCCGUGCUUGAGGACUGGAGAGGAGACUGGAAUUUACGGUGUAGCGGUGAAAUGCGUAGAUAUCGUAAGGAAGACCAGUGGCGAAGGCGGGUCUCUGGACAGUUCCUGACGCUAAGGCGCGAAAGCGUGGGGAGCGAACAGG